ensembl:snoRNA SNORA72 Small nucleolar RNA SNORA72
CUGCAAAUAUUCCUGCUGUUCUGAUUUUGUCAUGAUCAGGGCCGGCUCCAUAUUCACUAUACUGAGACCAGGCGUGAUGUGGCCCCGGAGCUCAUUCUUUCCCUAGGUCUGGUUUUAUAAAUGCUGGUGAUAAAC